ACCAUAUUUAUAUACCUAGACAUAGAACUGAAAUAUAUAGUCUUUUUCAUAUCGACGCCGUCACGACAAAAAGGCGUAAGUGCCAAAAAAUCAAAAUUGAGAUUUUAACUGAAACGAAUUCCUCUUUAAACGACUCAUCUUUUGGUGUAUUGAACGCAAGCGACAAAAAAUUAUAUUCGCUCUAAUUUGACCCUAAAGAUUUGUAAGUGCCACUUUAUGCCGAUUUUCCAUUAGUGAUCGUUUAACUCCCACGGUGAAAGGUGCUCUUACGCCCGGUGCAAAUUUUAUACCAUGGACCUUUAACACAAAAGGAGCUUCAAGAUUUAGCAGACAACAUUGAUUUGAACCAGUCGGAUAUCGGAGAGCUGUCAUCAGAAGAUGAAGAGGAGGACCUGACAACGCAUUUUGCUGAAGAUGAAGAAGAUCAACAAACCGACUCUUCAUCAUCAGACGAUGACCUACCUUUGUCCCAUUUUCUCCCAGCAAGAAAAAAAGUUGGGGCCGAACUGCUAAGCUAGAGGUACAUUCUUUUCCAUUUUUGAAUGAUGCUGCUGAUGUAAACAAAGAGUUAGAGUACCCCAUCAAAUAUUUAGAAAAAUAUAUUUCAGACGACUUUUACGAAGAUAUUGCACUUUACACAAGCAUGAGAGCUACUUCUAAUGGAAUAAAAAUGUUUUUUGGAGUGUCGAUAUUAAUUGGAAUUUACGGACUUCCAAGAAUUCGGAUGUUUUGAUCCAGAGAAAUGAGGGUUACCAUGAUAUCUGAUAAUAUUACCAGAGACCGAUACUUUGGUUUGCGCUGUCGUCUGAAACUUGUAGAAGAUGACAUGAUCAAGGGAGCAAAGGAGUUUAGAUAUGUUUUGGAAAGUAAGGCCAAUGCUUGACAGAGUUUUGAAAGGAUGUAGACAAAAUAAACGUACUGAGGCGGCAUCCAUCGACGAACAGAUGAUAUCAUUCCAUAUCACAAAAACCUGAACCAGUAGGCAUUAAGAAUUUUGUAAUGACAACACCAACUGGAAUUCCUUUGGAUUUUUACUUGUACGAAGGAAAGGGCUCAUCACUACAGUCAGCGCUCACUCCUAUACCAGAGAAGCUUGAUAUAGGUGGCAGAAUGCUACUCAAACUAACUGACACUUUACCAGCUUGUGUUUCAGUUUCCACUGACAGAUAUUUUACAUCUAUUCCACUAAUAGAUGCAUUAUUGUCCAGAAAACUAACCCUAACAGGAACCAUGAUGCCAAAUAGGCUUUCAAAAAACACAACAUUUUUAAAAGAUAACGAUUUAAAAAAAUCAGGUAGAGGUUUCCAUGACCAGUUGGUAAGACAGGAUUCCAACGUCAAUUUAGUAAAGUGGUUUGAUUCGAAACCUGUACACUUUGCUUCAUCAUCUGCUGGCGUUGAGUCACUAUAAAUACUUACAUAUAAUAUUUAUAGGAACUAUAUAAUACUAUAAUAUAAUACUUAUAGGCACAUGUUCACGUUGGUCCAAAACCGAAAAUAAAUAAAUAACAAUAAAUCAGCCUGCAAUAGUAAAUGAAUACAAUUUAAAAACGGGAGGGGUAGAUCUACUGGAUAGAGUGAUUGGGAAGUAUCCUAUGCGUGCUCGAACAGGCAAAUGGACGAUUCGAACCAUUUAUCACUUUUUUGAUUUUUCAAGAGAGAAUUCUAUGUUUUUAAAUCAUGCAAAGAAGGAUAUUAUGAAUUAUCUUGAUUUUAAACUCUCGCUGGGUAAAUCGUUAAUUCAUUCUGCUAAUGAAAGCAAAAAUGAAGAAAAUAAUAUUGAGGAAGAAGAUGAAUUACCAACUUCUCGCAAGCAAAGAAAAGUUGAGCCCGUACCAGACAAGAGAGACAGAAAAAAAGGAAAUAAGCAUUUACCUACUUUCAUGAAGAACCAGCAAAAAUCACGAUCUAAAUGUCGAAUAUCUGGUUGUGGAAAAUUAACAUUUGCAAAAUGCACCUCCUGCAAUAUUUUUCCGUGUGGUAGCGUUGACAGAAAUUGUUUUGAGUUAUUUCAUAACUAAUAUAUAUAACUAAUAUAAUAUUAUAUAUAUAU